GGGCUGCCCCCUGCGGCUGUUCGCGGUGGCGCUGCUGGAGGACAACAGCCUGGCCCUGGGCCGCCUGCUGCAGGCCUUCGCCCAGCGCCUGCGGCUGCCGGCCCGCACCGAGGUGGUGGAGCUGCACGACAGCGAGGUCUCCGCCUACACCUACGAGCGCACCCUGAUGAUGGAGCAGCGCUCCCGGAUGCUGCGCCACAUGCGGCUGGCGCGCCAGGCCUGGCACGGCUCCGCCCCCCCCAGCGGAGGGGAGGAGGAGGAGGCGGGGACAGGGGGCGGCCCCCGGGCAGGCCCCAGCCCCACCAACGUGCGUCGCAUGCACGCGGCCGAGCGGCUGAACGAGGCCAUGGGGCGGCGCUCGGCGGGGGCGCGCCUGGUGCUGCUGGACCUGCCGGCCCCGCCCCCCGCCUCGCCCCGCCCCCGUGACGACAACUGUAUCCAUGGCAACGGCGCGGCGUCCCUAGCAACGGGGGCAGAUUUCACCACCGCGGCCCUAGCGACGCCCCUGGCAACGGGGGGAUGGCGGGAGGCGUUGCCAUGGAAACAGGGGGC
rnacentral:lncRNA from 1 species